GGAAUGGUGCAGAAAAAAUAUUCUUGCAAGCAGUUGGGGGUGAAAAAGAAUUCGUGCACAGAAAAGUUUCCCAACCCCUCAAAUAUCUAACGGUCCGUCCCUUACUUACCCUUAGCCAGGGCUGGAUUGUUUGAUGUUCCGGAGUCAACUGGAGAAGAUGGGGGUUUGCCCUCGUCACGCAUUGGGGAAGGAAUGGCGUCCUCUUCGUUCGUGUCAGUAUCCAACUCAUCCAUGCAAAAAGAAAAAAGUGAAAGGUUCCCAUGUUGUUCAGCUAAAGCUUGCAAAAGAAAUCCAUAAAAUAGGGCUGUAGAGUUGUAGGGUUGUAGAGCGGUAGAGUUUUCGAGCUGUAGAGUUGUAGAGUUCUAGAGCUCGCUGUAGAAUUGUGGAGUUAUAGAGCUCUAGAUUUGUAGGGCUGUAGAGCUCUAGAGUUCUAAGGCUGCAGAGUUGUAGGGCUGUAGAGCUGUAGAGGUGUAGAGUUGUAAAGGCGCAGGGCUGUAGAGUUGUAGGCCGGUAGACUGAGCUGUAGUGUUGUAGAGCACUAGAGCUGUAGAGCUGUAGAGUUGUAGGGUUGUAGCUAAGUAGCUUUGUUGCCACGAACAGUGCCAUGAUUACAAUUUUCAAUUUGUGCUUGUCUUUAGACGAAUGCCAAAAGUUGGUGAUAUAUAAUAUAGGCGUGUGUUUAUAAGAGGUGAAUAUUCCCCGAUAAUCACUGAGCCUGAGG